CCUCAGUGACUAGUGGAGGUAAAUCACAGGUUGUGCCCUUGUUGGUUCCCAAGUUCCCACAUGGCUUUUACUCCUUCCCCAAAGGGACCCUCCUCCAUGGUUAUUACAUCACCAAGCUGCUCCAACUUUUCCUCUGGUUAUUACAUCACUUGGCUGCUCCAACCAGGAAUCGAACUCCCCACACUUGGUUCCAGAGCCCCCCAAUGUGAUUGUUCCGCCAACUUGGAUGUGCCCUGGGGGGCG
rnacentral:lncRNA from 1 species